UGGCCACAUCAUAUUGAAACACUAGUUCCCAUAUAAUCACCAAAGUUAAACAAUGUUAAGUCUGGUCAGUACCUAGAUGAGUGACCACUUGGAAAUAUCAGGUGCUGUAAG